GCGGAGGAAAAGAAACUAACAAGGAUUCCCCUAGUAACGGCGAGUGAAGAGGGAAAAGCCCAGCACCGAAUCCCACAGCCUUGCGCUGUCGGGAACUGUGGUGUAUAGGAAGCCUACUUGUCGGCGUGUUCGGGUACCCAAGUCCUCCUGAUCGUGGCCUCUCCCAUAGCGGGUGUCAGGCCCAUACAGGCACCCGACGGCGUCGGCUUGGAGCUUCCUCGGAGUCGGGUUGUUUGGGAAUG
rnacentral:rRNA from 1 species